GACGAACGCUGGCGGCGUGCUUAACACAUGCAAGUCGAACGGUGAAGCCUUUCGGGGUGGAUCAGUGGCGAACGGGUGAGUAACACGUGGGCAAUCUGCCCUGCAUUCUGGGACAAGCCUUGGAAACGAGGUCUAAUACCGGAUACGACGCAUCUCCGCAUGGGGUGUGCGUGGAAAGCUUUGGCGAUGCAGGAUGAGCCCGCGGCCUAUCAGCUUGUUGGUGGGGUGAUGGCCUACCAA
rnacentral:rRNA from 1 species